GACGUAGGUGCACCCAGGUCUAGAUUUUCUUUUACUUGCAGCAUGUUGUUUCAUCAGUAUAGCCUUUCUUUGCAUUUCUUGCCUUUUCCUCUUUCUGUAAUCCUUUCUGUAGGCGUAUUCAUGGUCCAUGCUCUUUAGGUACCAGUGUGUGUGGUCUGAAAGUGGCAAUGUAAUGUUGGCUGCUUUCAUGGAUGUUGCUGUUCCUGGACUGUUGUUUUGUCUAAGAAUCUCAGCAGAGAGGAUCCCUUCAGCAUUUCUGGAAUAGUUGGUGUGCUUAGGUAAAACCUCACUGACUGCUCUGUUGAGACCUUCACAUUUCUGAGUUGAGGUGUUGAGUUUCAUUUCCUCAAUGACAUUCUGGCUUAGUCGCAUCUCUAGAAUGACUUUUAGUAAGUGUUCGUCAUCAUCAUUCAAGUGCAGGGCUGUCAUUUUAUUUGGGGCGAGGAAAUAAGACUGAUUCCAUCAGGUGUGUCUGUCUCCACCACACACCACUGAAUUCCUACGACAUUUGGACCAGUCUCCAGAGUAGCAGAGGAUGGUACUGUCUAUGACAAGAGGAAGUUUACUGCAGAUGAUUUUGAUGUCUCCAGUGUAAGGAAACAUUUCUGGGCUGAAGUGGGCACUGCGACACUGUCGGAACUGGGCUCUGCUGAAGUGGGUGGGGUCUGCCAGUCGAGUGAUUUGCCAGUCUGGAUGGAAUAUACGCAUGGCAUCUUGGAAUCCCUGAGCUGACCGGGCAUCACCGUCUGUUCUGGUGUGCUUCACCUUGAACCCGUCAGCUGCCAGAUCUUCACCUAUUGACUUGGCCAUCUCGUACUCUGAAAGAGGGAAACAGUAGCUGCAUUGACCUGGUUGCUGGUCCUUUGCAUGGAACUUCGUUUGGGAGGAGGAAUGUCCAAGGCAGCCACCAUUUCCCGACUGCGUCGAUUCCCCAUGGAGGUGUUCUGCAGGGCUAACUGAAAGUUUCAGUUAAUGGUGGCAAGAUUAGGACCUGGUUUAUCUGAGGUAUCAGGCCUGGGUCUAAGAGUUAGUGUCCUUGAGCAGUUUUGCUGGUCUUCAACAGGGAGUUGUCCUGCCUCAGUAUCUGUUGUUUCUGGGAUGCUGGAUGGGGAAGUUUUAGGAGGUUAUUAUUAUAACACAGUGGUUGGUGAGAGAGGACUUAAGCUAAGUGGGGGAGAGAAACAGAGGGUGGCAUAGCCAGGGCUAUACUAAAGAACCCCCAGAUUUUCCUGCUGGAUGAGGCUACAUCUGUUAUGGACACUUAAGACAGAACGUAAUAUACAAACACCCCUGGAGAAAGUUUGUGAGAACAGAACAACCAUCAUUGUGGCUCACAGACUUUCCACCAUUACACAUGCUCAUCAGAUCCUAGUUAUGAAAGAGGGGGUGAUUGUUGAAAGGGGAACGUUCGACUUAAGUGGUGCCUUAAUGCCCUCAACCAGAGACAGGACUUUCGAGAUGUCAUCUUUGUGGAUGAAAGCACAGUUGAGAUGUCAGCUCAUGGAAGACUUUUCUUUCAUCAGGACUGCUCUAGACUGCAGAGAAAGUGUGCAAGUUCAUGUAUGGGCUGGAACAAUAUAUCUUAUCAAGGCCAGACAAGCAUUUGUGUCUUCAAUGGGGUGAUGGAUUCUGUCAUUUAUUAAAGAAUACUGGCUCAAAACUUUAUUCCAUUUGUUGAAGACAAGGUUCCUGAUGGAUAUCGGUAGUACCAAGACAACAGCAAGCAUAACUCAAAAUCACCAAAGAAAUGGAUGGAAGACAAUGGGGUAUUAGACAACGUGAUGGAAACGCCUGCCUCAUCACCAGAUCUCAACCUGAUAGAGAAUGUCUGGGCAUCAAUGAAGUAUUACCUGCAGACCAAGACCAAGCCAAGGACCAAGGAUCAGCUUGUUGGAGGGAUAAAGGCGUUUUGGGAAUCCCUGACUCUUGACCAGUGUGGCCGCUACAUUGACCACAUCCACAAGGUGAUCCCUUAUGUCAUAUUGAAUGAUGGUGAAGCAUCCGGAUUUUUAUUUAUAGCUGCAGUGCAUAUAAUGAAUGAUUAAUGGAUUAUGGACCCCCCACCCAGAGUGAAAGUGUUCUGUCGGAAUUCUAUAAUCUUUGAAAAUUCCAAAUGUACAAAUAUCUUUUAAAUGAUAUGUGAUUUUGCCUUAUCAAUUGAAAUUUACAUGUUAUAUGAAUAUGUUUUGUGAAUUGACUGAAAAUAGUCUUAAUAUGUAUAUGUGUUUUUGUUUAAUGUAUGGUUCCAUUUGUAUGUAUU